rnacentral:sRNA from 1 species
GAUGGGUGUGAUGGCACACACCUGUAAUCCCAGCUACUUGGAGACUAAGGCAGGAGGAUCCAAGUUCAAGGCAAGCUGGGCAAUUUAGCAAGAUCCUGUCUUAA